CCAACCUGGUGCCCUCCAGAUGUUUUGGACUACAACUCUCACCAGCCCCAUCCUGGUAAGGAAUGGUGGGAGAUGCUGUCCAAAACAUCUGGAGGAUACUAGGUUGG